CUUUCUUGACUCAAAAAUAUCAAUACAAUACUAAAAAACUAAUAACAAAAAUUAAAGAGAAACUGAACUUCAAAACUUAAGAAAAAGCUUAUAUUUUUAAUAGUUUAUAACCUCCUUUUGAUCGUGAGUUUUCUUACUCUUUUUUUACUUUCACUAAUUUAGUAGAGUUUUUCCAAAAUUUUUAUUUAAAAUAUCAAAAUACUCUUAAAAAUCACAUAUUUUGUACUUUCUCUUCUUCUUUUACAUAUAUGCUUCUUACUAU
rnacentral:lncRNA from 1 species